rnacentral:rRNA from 1 species
CCUACGGGAGGCAGCAGUGAGGAAUAUUGGUCAAUGGCCGAGAGGCUGAACCAGCCAAGUCGCGUGAGGGAAGAAUGUCCUACGGAUUGUAAACCUCUUUUGUCAGGGAGCAAAGUCACCCACGUGUGGGUGUUGGAGAGUACCUGAUGAAAAAGCAUCGGCUAACUCCGUGCCAGCAGCCGCGGUAAUACGGAGGAUGCGAGCGUUAUCCGGAUUUAUUGGGUUUAAAGGGUGCGUAGGCGGGUUAUCAAGUCAGCGGUAAAAUCGUGGAGCUAAACGCCAUCCAGCCGUUGAUACUGAUGGUCUUGAGUGGGCGAGAAGUAGGCGGAAUGCGUGGUGUAGCGGUGAAAUGCAUAGAUAUCACGCAGAACUCCGAUUGCGAAGGCAGCAUACCGGCGCCCGACUGACGCUGAAGCACGAAAGCGUGGGUAUCGAACAGGAUUAGAUACCCGAGUAGUC